CAACCCUCGAACCCCUCCGGGGGGUCGGCGUUGGGGAUCGGCCUUCCUUCACGGGGGCCGUCUCCGAAAUACAGUGGCGGUCUCGCCGCAGCCUCUCCUGCGCGGUAGUUUGCACACUCGCAUCGGGAGCGCGGCGCGUCCACAGCCGUGAAACACCCAAUUUUUUCA
rnacentral:misc_RNA from 1 species